GGAUCAACAAAGUGAGCUUUCUCAAUGUCAUGUAUCUAAGCUAGCCAAGAAACUGAGGGUGAAGGAAGAAGAGGUAAAAUUGAAGCCUGUUAUUGCAUUCGAUUGUGAUUAAACAUUUGGUGGCUACUGCAAUAUCUUUAGCAUCCCCUGUGGAGCAAAGCAAGGUAGCAACUAGUUGUUGAUUUGGAGCAAGCGGGUUGUUUGCACGAAGAUAUCAGAUAGUGUAUUUUAUUUUGGGAGUGUUGAUUGUGUUGUUCCUAUUGUGCUAUAAUUAUUGAUAAUGAACUUAGUCA